CGGAGGGCAAAGUACCGCGAGGCCAUUGACUAAGCCUAUUUGUCUUGAAAGAAAUACUUGCAUUGGCGAUUUAGAGCAGCAGCCCUACGGCAGAGCAAAGCAGCUCCGAUCCCAUCGCCAGGCUGUGUUUCUGGGCCACAAGGCUUAGUCAUGCAAGGGAUGAACUGACAGAACAGUUGAAGAUACCAACACCCAUUUCCUGUUACUGAAGACUGAGGCUCCCAC